rnacentral:tRNA from 1 species
GGAGAGGGCUUGUGGCUUGGUGGAACAGCAACUGCUUAACAUGCAUAAAGUCCCAUGUUCAAUCCCUGGCAUCUCCA